AGCACCCUGAGUGAGGCUGCUUCACGUGCACCGUAACCUGCAAGCUCGGAUCUUAUGUAUAUAGGUUAUAUUGUGUUAGCAGUAUUAUCGAAUUUUAUAUUGUUUAAAAGUAUUAAAAUCGUGAAAUGAAAAGUACAGAAUGACGGAAGUUCAAAUAUAAUACAUUUUCUGGAUACGCUCAUAUGUAUCUACAUGACGUCAGAGCGGAGGUAUCUUUAUCCAUUCAGCUCGCGUUGUUUGUCCAGAAGAUAGACUGACCAACGGCUAAAUCCACUCAACAUGGACGCAUAUAUUCAUGAUUGAAAUGAAAUUAUGAAUAAACAUUUGCUGAUAGAAAGUA
rnacentral:misc_RNA from 1 species